CGUUUAGGGGUAAACCUGAGAAACCCGAAAGGUCGAAGGAAGAAAUUCAUUCGCGUCUCGCCGUCGGCGUGAAGCGGUACGAGCGACGAAGACGACUUCGUGUCGUAUUCGCACCUUCCGUUUCGACGAACCGAUGACGAACGCGUGCACUUUUCUUCUGGUAGGACGUCGCGAUCCGUUGGGUGUCGGUCUACGACUCGCGGUGGAGCCCGCCCGUCGUCUUUCGUACGUACGGACGGACCCGCGUGUUUUCCGAUCGACUCGCUCGACGGUAUACGAAUGGUCGAAGGCCGCUCUUUUGGGAGCGUCCGGCUCGCGGCAAGCGCGCUCGUCACGUUGGCAAUCGGACCUAGUGCCGUUUCCGACAACGAGUGACUGUUGGCCGUGAAGUUCUCGGACAGACCUUACUAAAAUUAAUGACCGAUCUGCGACGCUAUAGCUUUGGGUACUUUCAGGACCCGUCUUGAAACACGGACCAAGGAGUCUAGCAUGUACGCGAGUCAUUGGGAAUAAUAUUAAACCUAAAGGCGUAAUGAAAGUAACGGCCUUCGCUUGCGCGAGGGCCGAGGGAAGAUGGGCGUUUCACCCUUAAAAGUGAUCGUUCCGCAUUCCCGGGGCGUCUCGUUCUCAUUGCGAGAAGAGGCGCACCAAGAGCGUACACGCUGGGACCCGAAAGAUGGUGAACUAUGCCUGGUCAGGACGAAGUCAGGGGAAACCCUGAUGGAGGUCCGUAGCGAUUCUGACGUGCAAAUCGAUCGUCGGAACUGGGUAUAGGGGCGAAAGACUAAUCGAACCAUC
rnacentral:rRNA from 1 species